GCGAGAGCCGGAUGAUCGGGGCAGCUCCUCCCUCCCUCCCAGGGAACGAGCUACCCUCUCCGGGUCUCCCAACGCCCGCAAUUCCCUCGGUGAGGCCAGCGCCCGAGUCGCGUUCCAGGAGAAAAGCCCCUGAGGCUUGGCAGCUCGCGUCCCCGCCCGACCCACGCCUUUAGCUCUGCGGGAGGGGCUGAGGCCAUUCCAAACGCCCUUAAAGCCUGCAGCGGAUGAAGCCCCCUUUCUCCUCCCCCGCUUUCUUUGCAGGAGGGAUCGGGAGGGGCGCGCCGUUGUUCUGCGGUCCCGUGAUACAGCCUUCCAGCACGGCCUAUCGCCCGGCCUUACAAAGGAGUCGCUUGGAGAGAUCCGGUCCAGUUCCCAACGGUUUCCUCAGUCUCGAGGGGGGAUCGGUGCGGGAGUGUGAAGCAGACAGAAGCGCCGCUCUGGCUCUAGCCUUCCAGGGUCGCACUCGGGACUCCGCUGGUUGCCCAAGGGAGCUCCUGGAUCUGUGCAGCCAAGAGACCUUCUCACAAAUCAGGGAUGGCCUACCUUGUAAUGGCCAAGAACCAGAAGGUCACACCUGAGGGGGGUUGCAACUGCUAAUGGAGGAAGGCAUUCCAUCAAGGAGCUGCUCCUCCCCAGGAAGGAGGCUUGUCCACAGAGGUCAGGGGAAGACUGUCCCUGCCCAAAUGGGGUAGCUGAGACAGUCCUGCAAAGUGUCAUGGCUGUACAAGUGAGGACCAGAGGAGGGACUGAGCCAGAAGCUGAUUGGAAGCCAGCCUGGGACCCACUCUGCCACGUCAGAGAAAACAAGAACCCCUUUGGGAGCAGCUGCUGUGUUCUACGUCUCCAAGCCCUCUUUGAAGGCACUUUCCUUAUCAGUGGAACUGGGGUGAGACGUGAACACUGGGGUUUGCAGCAUUCCAUCUUCCCAAGGCUCCUGCGAGUCCCUUGGAUUGCAAGGCGAUCCAACUGGUCAGUCCUAGAUGAGACUAAUCCUGGC
rnacentral:lncRNA from 1 species